GGGGAUAUAGCUCAGUUGGUAGAGUGCUUGCCUUGCAUGCAUAAGGCCCUGGGUUCAAUCCCCAGCACCA
rfam:Ictidomys tridecemlineatus contig003544, whole genome shotgun sequence.